UACCAGCACCCCGAGUGGUCGGGACGUUUAUUGGGCCUAAAGCAUCCGUAGCCGGUUCUACAAGUCUUCCGUUAAAUCCAACUGCUUAACAGGUGGGCUGCGGAGGAUACUAUAGAGCUAGGAGGCGGGAGAGGCAAGCGGUACUCGAUGGGUAGGGGUAAAAUCCGUUGAUCCAUAGAAGACCACCAGUGGCGAAGGCGGCUUGCCAGAACGCGCUCGACGGUGAGGGAUGAAAGCUGGGGGAGCAAACCGG
rnacentral:rRNA from 1 species